rnacentral:rRNA from 1 species
AUGGAAAAAUCAUACAAGUUUUUAAGGUAUUUAAUUAUUUCACUUGUAUAUUGUUUUGGAUGCGUUUCAUUGUUCAUACGUAAAUUUUUAUAUGUAAGUAUAUUCAUUAUUAUUAUAUGUUAUUUAUACCGGGGCCCCGAAAUAUCAGGACCGGCCCUGGGGGAGAGUAUAGGGCCCCCACCACCCGCGCAUGCGCGACCGUGGCCUGGCAGAACCGCCCGCCAAACUCAACCCCGAAACCCCCCCGUUCCUCGCUCGACGCCACCACCGCCACGGGGGCGCGCACAUGCAACAAAUACACGCCGAUGGACUGACCGAUCGGCGAAAACCCACGGCGAAAUUGGGCGAGACGUGCGGUGCCGGGAAACGGACGGGCCGCUGCCAUCUAUCCAUCCAUCCAUCGCUUCUCGUCUCCCUCCCGGCGCCUUUCACAUGCUGCUUUCCUCUCCUGCCCGCGAAACAGAAAUUAGGCCUUGCCCAGCUGUACACGCCCACAAAAAGGAGAGAGCGGGCCAGGACUUAACCCCGCGAGUCACCCGCCUCCCGCCCGGACGGACACACACACGCACACACACAUACCUCGUCGGACCUCGUCGGUUCCUUCCGCAGGAGAUCGGCAUGGGAGCUGAGCAGCAGCAGCAGCAGACCGCCGGGGGCAGCAGGUUCGCCGCGGCGUUUGGCCUGCUGCGCCAGUACAUGAAGGACCAGCCUGGGGGCGGCGUGGUCACCGUGGGCCUCAUGCCGGGCGGCGGCGACGGCGUCGAGGCGGUCGCGCCGGAGGAGAGGAUCCGGACCAUGGAGCUCUUCCCCCAGCAGGCCGGCAUGGUCAGGGACUCGCGCGAAAGGACGGGGCCGGAGAGGGCGCCGCUGACCAUCUUCUACGCCGGGAGGACGGUGGUGUUCGACGACUUCCCCGCCGAGAAGGCCAAGGAGCUCAUGCAGCUCGCCGGCUCCUUCGGCGCGCUGCCGGCCGCCUCCGACGCCGGCGCCGAGCCCGUCUGCCAGAACGCGCCGGGGCAGCCUUGCUUUGCAGGUACGGAUCGCGCGACACUUUGUGACCUGCCGAUCGCGAGGAAGGCGUCGCUCCAUAGGUUCCUGGAGAAGAGGAAGAGCAGGCUGGCCGCGGCAGAUCCGUACCCUGCGCCGGUGGCGGCGCCAGGGGCUGGGACGGCCGGCAAGCCUGUGCCGGAGGACGGCGGCGCGCCGUGGCUCGGCGUCAACUCCGCGCUCCAGCUCAACUGA